UUGGCCUUUUCUUGGGCUCGCUCAGUGGAUGGCUAGUAACACUUCCAACACCUUCCAGGAUGACACUUGCAAAACUCUCUAGAAAGCUCUUACUUCAUCGAGCAUGAAUAUGCGGAGUUAUUUUUAAGUUCACGGAGGAAAUCAAGCACGGUGGGUCUUUUUUGAUGGAAUGAUCACCGUAUGAAGUGGUAAAGGCAAUGCUUGGUCAUGUUUUUCCCACUAAAAACUUCAAACGCUGCGUUUUCAAUAUGAUGAGCGACGGGACGAUGGUGUGCAUACGGAUUGAAACUGUCGUGUUACGAUUUUGCAGGCACGAGAUGCAUUUUUCAAGUGUCUGGAAGCUGAUUUUGAGCACCUGACAUCGACAGACACCGAUUCUGUGAAACUCCUCUACCCUUCACGGUGCAAACCUGCUCGGGCGUUCCUCGAGCAGAAUUGUCGACGGCCAUGGGUGAAGCAUUUUGACCGUCGAUUUUACGCUAAGCGGAGGGUGAAGCAUCCGGUAGACACGGGUGACAAGCAACAUUACCUUCGAAUAAAAUUGAUUUGCAACCCGGGAGAUACUAAAGCAGCCAAUGCUUACUAGUAAACUGCUUUUUACAUUUUAUUUAAAUACAAAUAAAAAUAAAAAGAAAUUCAUAGCUGUCUCGUGGCUUAUAAAUGCACAUACAAGGACAAACUAGCUGUGAGCAUGCAUGAG